rnacentral:lncRNA from 1 species
GACAAUUAAAACCCUAAUCAUGCUUGCGAUUCUGUUGAUGGCAUCAAUGUUCUGCCAAGGUCUCUCAUUAGUGAGCUAUGGAGACAGCUUCAUCACAGCCUUUCCAGAAAACCUUGGCUUCUUCUAUCCAUUUCCUCUCUGGAACAUCCUGAAAGUCACAGCCCUCUACGACAACACUAAAAUAACCAUCUUACGUACAAACUCACAGCAAGACUUUACUAUUCAGAAGUCAGGGCAAACCUUGCGUGUGUACGUUUCGAACGUUGAAGUAAAUCAACUUGGCUUCUGGGAUUUAUCUGUCAGAGUUACCAGUGACAAAAACAUCACUUUGGUUUCUGUAAGUCAGCGGGGAAUGAGCACUCAAGUCAAUGUCAUUCAGCCCAUAGUAAAUCUCGGCACAGACUAUUGGAUCCCUUUACUGGAUUACCCAGGGUAUCUUGAAACCUUCAAACUGCCUAGUCUGGUCAGUACCGACAUGAGAUACAGCUCAUUCAAGCUACUCAUCAUCAAUGCGGUGAACAGUCAAAACAACAUCAUUGUAGUUAAGAAAACAUCGACCGAUGUUGAAGAAGAGACGUUCAGUAUUGACCCUUACAAGCUGGUUCAGCUUCAGACCAACGGCUCUGUGCUGAGGGUCAAAUCU